AGGGGACGAACACUGCGCCUCGACCAGGCGUCGAGCUGAGCGAAGGUCGGCCAGUCAGCCGGUAGAAAAUGCGAUU
rnacentral:misc_RNA from 1 species